CCCCAGCUGGGUCAGGUUGGGGACCUCAGAUCGGGCUGCUGGAGUCAGGGGGUUCGGGUAGGGCUCUCUAGGCCUGCGGCGAAAUAACCCCGGGCACGGGCCUGCGGGACCCGAUAAGGCUGUGAAGGAGCCUAAUCAUCGGCUGCAGGCGCGGCUUCCACCUCGCAGCGCCUUCUGCAUCCUCCCCCCCUCUCCCCGCACCGGGGGCUGCAAGCGCAGGGAGCCGCGGUGCUUCACUCGGCCUGAUCCCUUCUCUCCCGCAGCCCAGAGGAGGGCCGCCUGACGGCUGAGUUGCCAUGGCAUCCUACUACGAGAUUCUAGACGUACCGCCGAGUGCGUCUGCUGAUGACAUCAAGAAGGCGUACCGGAAGAAGGCUCUGCAGUGGCACCCGGACAAGAACCCAGAUAAUAAGGAGUUUGCUGAGAAAAAAUUUAAGGAGGUGGCAGAGGCCUAUGAAGUACUAUCUGACAAGCACAAACGGGAGAUCUAUGACCGCUAUGGCCGGGAAGGGCUGACGGGGGCAGGAACUGUCCCCUCUCAACCAGAAACUGGUGGGAUGGGACCUGGCUUCACGUUCACUUUCCGUAGCCCUGAGGAAGUCUUCCGGGAGUUCUUCGGGAGUGGAGACCCCUUCUCGGAGCUCUUUGAUGACUUGGGCCCCUUCUCAGAGCUUCAGAACCGGGGUUCCCGACCCUCUGGUCCUUUCUUUGCCUUCUCUUCCUCCUCUCCUGGCCACUCUGAUUUCUCCUCCUCGUCUUUCUCCUUCAGCCCUGGGGCUGGUGCUUUUCGUUCUGUUUCAACAUCCACUACCUUUGUCCAAGGACACCGCAUCACUACGCGUAGAAUCAUGGAGAACGGGCAGGAACGGGUAGAGGUGGAAGAGGAUGGACAGCUGAAGUCAGUUUCCAUCAAUGGUGUCCCAGAUGAUCUGGCACUAGGCUUAGAGCUGAGCCGCCGUGAGCAGCAACCUUCAGGCACCUCCAGGCUGGGGGGCACACAGGUCCGGCCGACCGCUGUUUCCCGUCCCACUGACAGCGACCUUUCUGAGGACGAGGAUCUGCAGCUUGCCAUGGCCUACAGCCUAUCAGAGAUGGAAGCAGCUGGGCAGAAGCCAGCAGGUGGGCGGGGGGCACAGCAAGGAUGGCAGGGCCAGUCCAGGGCCCAGCACCAAGACCUUGAUAUGGGAGGCACGCAUAAGGGGGCGAGGGGCGAGGCAACCAAACCCAGCCCUUCAGAGGAGAAGGCCUCUCGAUGCCUCAUUCUCUGAAAACCAGGCUGAGCCGGACCUGAUUCAGGUUUUGACCCAGAGUCCAGCUCACUGUGGGGAGUCCAAAAUUGAGUGUGGCCUGAGUUACAGGAUCCCAAACUCUGUCCCUCCUCAAGUUUCCUUCCCAGGCCCAUCAGUCUACAGUGAGGACCAGGGAUUUGUUAUGCUCUGUUUGGGGCUGAUAAAUCCCUGGGUAAAGCCCAGGAUUGGGGGUAUCGGGGCCAUGAAAGGGCCUGUGGAGCCCAGAGGCACUGGCUGGAUCUGGCACUGCUGAGGGGCAUUAGUGGUUUGGGGUUGGGUCUUUUGUACCCAAGUCUUCUGCUGCCAUCUGUGUUGCUGAUGCUAUCAAGAAAGGAGGCCUUGCCUGGCAUGCCCUGAGCUCAGGUUGGCAGCUCUCCUGGGGAGCAGCACAGGCCCAGUGGAGCCUCUGCUCUCCUUACCCAGCUGCAGGCCUCCUGGUCUCUGCGCAGAACUGAGUUCUCACCUGUCAUCGUCUCUGUUUCUCCCCCCCCCACCCCCCGGUGCUGCUCUCCUCCUGCUCUGCACUCCGCAACUCCCUGUGGCUGCAUCGCUUGCUUUCACUGCUGCUUGGCUAGGACUCCCUCCUCCUCCUCCUCCUCCUCCUCCUCCUCCUCCUCCUCCUCCUCUCUGAAGCCUCAGUGUGCUCAAGGAAGAUGCUGGGGCCAGUGGGGCCGUGAGAUCUUCUGGGGAGGCUAGCUAGGUGGGGUGGAAGCCUCUCAGCCCUCCAGAGUCUCAACCAGAGUCAACUCCUCUUCCCUUCUCCUUGCUGCCUCUCAGCCUGCCCUGGCCACAGGACUAGGCAGAGAUGUGUUCUGAGCUGGAUACCCUGGAUACAGAGUUGCUGCAGUUCCACCAGGACAGCACCCUCCCCAGUGUGCUAGGAGGGAACACUACAUCCCUCUCCCCCACUUAUGCUGAGUGUAGGGCUGGGGCCUGGGUGGUGGGUGGGGACUGAGUGGGAGGCACCCAUAGUCUUCUUAGCCUCUGAACUCUCUCCCCUGGGUGCUUAGUGCUGUCUCUUGCGGAUUACAAGUCCCAGAGUGCAAUGCACCCUGGCCUCGUUUCUGUUAGCUCUUAUCCCAGGGGAAGUGGUGCCUCUUGGGAUAUGUAGUUCCAACCCUGGCCAGCCUGCCAAUCUGAAUGGGGAGAUGCCAUCUUUCAUCUUGUCCCUGGAAGAGGUGGUGAGAAUUGUGGAUGAAGGAGAAAAGAUCAGAACCAUAGUUCUGAUACUUCUUGCUAGACCCAGGUUAGAGUGAGCACAUUUGAGUCCUGUAGCCCCUGGAAGGUUGUUUCCCUUGGGCAACCUGGGGUUCCAGGACUAAGCUAGUGGGACAGUGGCCUGAGCAGGUACGGCAUGGUCCUGGGAGGCUGAUGGCUGUGGCUGGCAGAGCGUGGGAGAGGAGGCUGUCUUGGCUGGAGUGUGUAUGGCGAAGACUGGCAUGCAGAGGAAGUGUUGGACAUACUGCUUGAAUGGCUUUCUUUGGCCUCUGACCUUGCUGCCCAUUCUUUCUUAUUAUCAUCAUUCAUCCCCCAUGAGCCACCUGUCCUCCUGCCUGGGGAGUCCAUGGCCAGUGAGGGGAUUGGUGGAACAGGCUGUGGCCAGCCCCUGUAAUGCUGAGCCUCUGAGGCCUGUCAAAGCUAGAUGAACUGAGCUCAGACUCAGGGAAAAUGGAAGCUAAUAAAGCUGAAUUUUGAGAGCUUA